UACGGAGGGUGCAAACGUUGCUCGGAAUCAUUGGGCGUAAAGCGCACGUAGGCGGCCUGUUAAGUCGGGUGUGAAAGCCCUGGGCUCAACCCAGGAAGUGCACUCGAAACUGGCGGGCUUGAAUAUGGAAGAGGGUCGCGGAAUUCCCGGUGUAGAGGUGAAAUGCGUAGAUAUCGUAAGGAAGACCAGUGGCGGAGGCGGGUCUCUGGACAGUUCCUGACGCUGAGGCACGAAGGCCAGGGGAGCAAACGGG
rnacentral:rRNA from 1 species